UACGUAGGGGGCAAGCGUUGUCCGGAUUCAUUGGGCGUAAAGAGCGUGUAGGCGGCCAGGUAGGUCGGUUGUGAAAACUGGAGGCUCAACCUUCAGAGGUCGACCGAAACCAUCUGGCUAGAGUCCGGGAGAGGAGAGUGGAAUUCCUGGUGUAGCGGUGAAAUGCGCAGAUAUCAGGAGGAACACCAGCGGCGAAGGCGGCGCUCUGGGCCGGAACUGACGCUGAGGAGCGAAAGCGUGGGGAGCAAACAGG
rnacentral:rRNA from 1 species